rnacentral:siRNA from 1 species
CCGCGGUUAAGCGUGCUUGGG